UACGUAGGGUGCAAGCGUUAAUCGGAAUUACUGGGCGUAAAGCGUGCGCAGGCGGUUAUGUAAGACAGGUGUGAAAUCCCCGGGCUUAACCUGGGAACUGCAUUUGUGACUGCAUAGCUAGAGUACGGUAGAGUGGGAUGGAAUUCCGCGUGUAGCAGUGAAAUGCGUAGAUAUGCGGAGGAACACCGAUGGCGAAGGCAAUCCCCUGGACCUGUACUGACGCUCAUGCACGAAAGCGUGGGGAGCAAACAGG
rnacentral:rRNA from 1 species